rnacentral:rRNA from 1 species
UGGGUAACCUGCCCUCAGCACGGGGAUAACCCCGGGAAACCGGAGCUAAUACCGGAUACUCCGGCUGGAUCGCAUGGUCCGGCCGGGAAAGGUCCGCCGGAGAGGGAUGGGCCCGCGGCCUAUCAGCUUGUUGGUGAGGUAACGGCCCACCAAGGCGACGACGGGUAGCCGGCCUGAGAGGGCGACCGACCACACUGGGACUGAGACACGGCCCAGACUCCUACGGGNGCA